GACGAACGCUGGCGGCGUGCCUAAUACAUGCAAGUAGAACGCUGAAGGGAGGAGCUUGCUCUUCUUGGAUGAGUUGCGAACGGGUGAGUAACGCGUAGGUAACCUGCCUUGUAGCGGGGGAUAACUAUUAGAAACGAUAGCUAAUACCGCAUAACAAUGGCUGACCCAUGUCAUUUAUUUGAAAGGGGCAAAUGCUCCACUACAAGAAGGACCUGCGUUGUAUUAGCUAGAAGGGGAGGUAACGGCUCACCUAGGCGACGAUACAUAGCCGACCUGAGAGGGUGAUCGGCCACACUGGGACUGAGACACGGCCCAGACUCCUACGGGAGGCAGCAGUAGGGAAUCUUCGGCAAUGGGGGCAACCCUGACCGAGCAACGCCGCGUGAGUGAAGAAGGUUUUCGGAUCGUAAAGCUCUGUUGUAAGUCAAGAACGAGUGUGAGAGUGGAAAGUUCACACUGUGACGGUAGCUUACCAGAAAGGGACGGCUAACUACGUG
rnacentral:rRNA from 1 species